CACUACGGCCAUGCUACCCUCCUAAACAAGCCGAUCUCAUCUGAUCUCGGAAGCGAAGCAAGGUUGGGCCUGAUUAAUACUUGGAUGGGAGAUCACCAAGGAAGACCAGGUGCUGUAGGUG
rnacentral:rRNA from 1 species